AGUCUUGUUCUCUUCAGAUCGUAUAAAUCUUUCGCCUUUUACUAAGAUUUCGUGGAGAGAGAACAACAAGAGUUAAUUCAAUUUUUUUGAUGCCCUGUUUCUGUGGGGCA
rnacentral:snRNA from 1 species